AGGUGUGAAUGUGAGUGUGAAUGGUUGUCUGUGUCUAUGUGUCAGCCCUGUGAUGACCUGGCGACUUGUCCAGGGUGUACCCCGCCUUUCGCCCAUAGUCAGCUGGGAUAGGCUCCAGCUCGCCCGCGGCCCUGUAGGACAGGAUAAAGCGGCUAGAGAUAAUGGAUGGAUUUCUACAUUAUUGAGUCAGUACAAAAACACUUGAGUUCCAAAUAUUUGUUUUACAGCAAACAAAAAUUAAAUGUUAUGGGGGGGGGUUUGUAUCUGAGCAGCAUAUUACAUAAGAGAGCACUUUUCAGAUUAAAAAAGAAAACAUAACGAAGGCUGCUGGGUUUUGCUGCAAAAUUAAAAAGCAAAUGUGACGGUCAAAGUGUCCAGAAGAACUGUGGCCGGUUCUGCAAGAUGCUCAGUAAAACCUACAACUCAUUUCCUUAUAAAACUGCACUCAUUGUACCUGAGACUUUUUUUUUAAAAAGCAAAGGGUCGUCACACACCAAAUACUGACUUUUCCAUUUAUUAUGGCUUACUUCUGUAGAUUUUUUUUUUUUAAAUGUUGAAACAUUUAAUUUUUCAACCAUUUUUGGUCUACAGCAUUUCUUUACAUGUGCCUAAGACUUCUGCACAGUUGUGUGUGUGUGUAAAAUCUUUAUAUACCAAUGGUGCCAAUAAUUCUAGAGCUGCCUGUAUAUUCUGAAAGCACAUUCCUGAUUUACAUAGCUGCAGAUCUCAGUUAUGACUUCUGGUGAAUUUAUUCUAAGUUUUUCUUUUUCCUCUGUACUUCUGUCCAAAUUGUUCGAUCUUGUAUUCUUUCUUCUAGAGGAAAAAAGCAUCUGAAGGACCACUGUUAAAGGGUAUAGAGCUUUCAGUAGCUUCAGACAGUUCCCUUAUUCGUGUGGUGUUGUUGCAGCAAUGAAGGCAGGGCAGUCCAGCGGAAACACUCGACACCUAACAGAAGUGUGCGUUAAAGCUAGCGGAAGUGCAGGAAGUCCACUGGGUGCUCAGAGCUGUGGUUAAGGCUGUACACCAGCAAACUCCAGAGAAAGACUGUAAAGCCUCAAAUUUCUCCAAAUCCGAGUCUUUUUACAUCUAAGAAAUGAUUGCAUGCUAUUUUAUUCCAGCUUGCGCAUUUGCAAGAACGUUGGGCUUCAAGAGUCUCAGGACCUCGGUGUGGUUUCCUGCCUUGGCUGCAUGGUAUGCGAAUGGCAGUUUUCAGCAAUAAACUGGGUUGCUUAUUCUAGCACCCUCUCCCACCACAGCCAGCAGGAAAUCACCCCAGGAAGAAGUGAAAGAAGGAGCAGGGGCAGGGGACGAAGGUAUAAAACCGUGGGUUUGUCUUUUUAAUGAUUUUAACAUCAUACAUUACAAGUCAAAAGGUACAAUGCUCUGUACAAUAAGUAAAUAGGUUUCGUUGUAAUGUCAUCUCUUUGGAUCAACCAAUAUACAUAUCUGUCUCUUUACAUUGCAGCAACUGAUUGUAGGUGAUACAAAGUGGACUGGUUGUCAUAUACUUUUUUUUUUUUUAAUACAAUUCUCCCUGUAGCUGAUAAAUCCCAUGCUAUAUAAAAUAGUGUAAGGAUGAAAUGAAAAUGUCCCAUUUUUGUUCUUUCGCCUUUUUUUUUUUUUUUCCCUUUCCCGGGGUGGCAGUAAUAAACAAAUACUAAAGAUAAGAGGACUAUGUUGCUAAACAAGAUACAUAAAGAGCUUGGAAUGCAAGACUUACAUUAAGCUAAAAUAAAUGCAACUACAAUUUGAUGUCUCUUUUGACAGACAGCAUAUUUUUCUCUUCAAGAAAGUAACGUCUUUCUUUCCUUAAGUCGGAUCGUAAUUUUUUUUUUCGUCCUUACAUCAGUGAUAUUUUAAUAAUUUCUUUUUAAUAGCUUAGACACCUACGCAUGUUGGGAGAAAUAAGAUAAGUGCAUCCCUAGUAGGUGCAAUGGAGAUAAAGGACUUUUUUUUUUUUUAAAUCAAAGGAAGUCAGGAUACAUGAUUAUAGAGAGGGUAUCAAACUGGAAAUCAAAAACUUUCCCUUCAGCACAACACAGUUUUGUUUUGUUUUUCCUCUCUUCCAAUGGACUCUGAACUAUCGCAGGUGACUAAAAGUGGAGCCGCUUGAGGUUUUUUGUUGUUGGGUUUUUUUUUUUCUCCCUUAAGUAUACUUGGAUAUUGGCUAAAAGUUCUCAGUGGGUGAGAGGCCUCUUUUUAAAAGGGCGCAGAAGCACAUCUGAGAGAUUGGCCUGGAAAAAAAAAAUCUUUCGCCUUUUUGAAGCUUCCUCUUUACCUCGAGUACAACUGACGACGAGAUACAAAUGCUGCACUGCUUGAAUGCCUCUGUCAGGAACUCGACUACGCAUCACCGUCUUUGCCAAAAUCCCCCUGACAUCCGAGCUCCACCCUGGUUUGUGCUUAUAUCUUUGUACACAGGGUUCACUCAAUCCGGUAAUAAAUGUUAUAAAAAUAAAUCUGUCACUUCUGUAAUAUUUAGCUGAUUUUAAAAAAAUAGCUUGUGACAGGAACUGAUGUUUUGUUCUCUCACUCGCUCCCUUCUUUUUUUCAGAAAUAGCAAGUUGCAGCUUUGAAUUGUGUUAAACUGACUUUUACAGCAAGGGCUUCAGAGAUAAGCUAAGCACAAGCACGUUUGCUGUUCCUAAAAUCCGCAAAGAAAGAAGAGGUGGGGCAAAAUGCAGCAAAUAUUAGUUAGUCUAUCAAAAAAAAUACUGUUACUCCUUUGGAAGAGGAGGGGAAAAAUUACAUAUAGAUUAAUAAAUUCUACACAUUGAACUAAUGGCACAUACAUGUACAAGGUCAAAUACAAAAUUUAAAAAAAAAAAAUCAUCAUACAGACAUAUAAGGCUGAUAUUUCAAGGAAAAAAAAAAUACUCUCUUCAAAGGUUUAAAAGUGCUAGAAUUCAGAUCAGCUCACAGAAAACCCGGGGAGGACAAACUCAGAAGUUGCCAAUAGCUUGUUGGUGAAUAUUUUUCUCAUGUUUUCUUAAAAUCACACUUCUUUCUUUCUUAAGAAAAAUGCAUAGCUUUGCUUAGCUUUACGACUUAUACUGCCUAUGCAGUUUUAGACCUGUUUAGGAUUGUUAACGGUCAUUUUUCCUACACAUUAAUGUGACUUUUAGGACAUUUAAAUGUUUAAAAAAAAAAACUUUUUAUAUUUCAAAGUGCUUGUCAAAUAUAUUUUUUUUUUCCUCCGUUCACCAAUCACCAAUAAAGUGAUAGAAAGGGGAAUAAAUGCUUUAAAAAAUAACAAAAAAAACUCUUUUUGCUGAUGCAAUCCAAACACAAAGUUGUCUUUUUAAAAUUUGAAACAAGAUUUCACACUAUCCAAUUGUAAAUGCAGGAAUGUAAGGGCGGG